AUUGAACGCUGGCGGCAUGCCUUACACAUGCAAGUCGAACGGCAGCACGGGAGCAAUCCUGGUGGCGAGUGGCGAACGGGUGAGUAAUAUAUCGGAACGUGCCCAGUCGUGGGGAUAACGUAGCGAAGGCUACGCUAAUACCGCAUACGAUCUAUGGAUGAAAGCGGGGGAUCGCAAGACCUCGCGCGAUUGGAGCGGCCGAUAUCAGAUUAGGUAGUUGGUGAGGUAAAGGCUCACCAAGCCGACGAUCUGUAGCUGGUCUGAGAGGACGACCAGCCACACUGGGACUGAGACACGGUCCAGACUCCUACGGGAGGCAGCAGUGGGGAAUUUUCCGCAAUGGGCGAAAGCCUGACGGAGCAAUACCGCGUGA
rnacentral:rRNA from 1 species